ACGACAUUCAAAUAAAACGUCCCUCCAAAAUGCCACCUGAUUCACCUCAUUUUCCCUUCCCCUUUCUCACUACCUCUCCCUCUCUCUUUACACCGUCACUCUCUCUCUCUCUCACACGUCGAUCCCCGCCCCUCUCCACCGUGCAUUUCUCACCGUUUGCGGCACCAACUGCGCAAGGUAGGAGUACGCCCUUCAGCCUUUCAGUCUGUGCCAUCCAUCACCGAUUUUGCCGCCAGUCGAGUCACUCUAACACCCAGUCACCGUUCGUCGCUGUUUGGGAGCCGCAUCGCCGUUAGCCUUGCUAUUUUCUGAUCAUUACACCUCGAAUCUAAUAGAUUAGUGAUUUGAGUUUAGAAGAUCGUUAUUGUGCUUUUUUCCAGUGGAGUUAAGGCGAUUGUGGCAAGUUUUCGAUUGUAGACUUGGAGGAUUUUGAAGAAAUUUCCAGCAAAUUUUGGUAUCAUUUAGGUGUCGUUCGGGUAUUGAAAAGACAUAGUUGGCAAUGUCGAAGUAUGAAUUUCCAAGGCUUCCACGGGCGGAUAUUGCAUUGCUACUAGCAGAUAAUCAAAUUGCUGCUGUAACAGAGCGGGACCUCCUUCAACCCUCACCUGAUUUGGUUUCAGAUCUCUACACACAUUUAAUGAUCUACCUCGACCUUCUCCAUGAGGAAGACCAAGGACAAAUUGAGUUUGCUGCCCUGGAUCAGCUCGAGAACCCUGAUCUGCAUAUGGUUUCAGUCCCGACAAUGAAGUUACACAACAAAAUAAAGCAUUUCAUUGCCUCUCUUGACUGUCCAAAAAAGUUUACGUUGAAGGAUUUGAUUAAACCUGAAGCAGAUAGGACAGAAAUUUUCCUUAGCGCAAUACUGAACUUUGGCAUUCACAAAGAUGCCAAAAUGAAUUUCCAUGCUCCAGUUAUGAAUGAGCUAGAUACUUUUGCUGACCAGCAAAGGGAAUGGGAGGUUAAAAUUUCUCAGUUGAAUGCAGAGAUCACGGAGUACAAUGAAGCAAGAGAAAGGGAAAUGCCUUUUGUUCAAGAGAUUGAUGCUAAAGUGAAAGAACUACAUCAAACUAUUGGUGGACUUAACAAUCAACAGGUGUCAUUACGUGCUGCAAUCCGUAAGUUGAAAGAGAAAGCUGGCGAAAUGGAUGAGAAGAUCUCUAAUGCAGAAUUUCUCUUAGUACAAAGUGUCCAAGAAAAUGCUAAUUUGCGUUCAAAAAUUGUUCAAUCACCAGAUAAGUUGCAGAGGGCUUUGGAGGAGAAAAAAUUAGCUAGGGAGGAGGCCAAGAAUGCUGAAAAAUUGGCUAUGCAAGCAUGUCAGGAAAAAACCGGGAUUGUUGAGGUUUAUUCAAAGGUUUCCAAGAAAAUGUUGAAGCACCUUUCUCUGAUGCAGACUAUACACGAACAGGUGAACUCUGCCAAGUCAGUUGAAAGAGAAUUCAAGGCCUUAAAAGUUAAGCUAAGUGAUGAGGAAGUCCAAGAUAAAUCGCUCCAGGUCAAAUUGGUUGAACUUCAAGCAAAAGUUCACCAAUUGAAAGAUUUAGUAACACAGACAGAGAAGGAGAGAGAUGUGACAUGUGAGGAAGCUACAAAAGAUUUGAUUGCCGUGAGGUCUCAGGUUGAAUCUUUGAGGCAUGAUCUAGAGCAAAGGCAAAGAAAUGUUGAAGCAGUGUUCAUGGAGGUUGACGUUCUGACUUCAAAAACAAAUUCCAUUAAACAAUCUAGUGUUCUGAAGCAACAAGAACUACUUAACAAAUGCGAGAGUAUUAUAAAAGAGUUUCACCAGUAUACAAACUUAGUUGGGGCACUGAUGGAAGUGAAGACAAAAGAAGAAGAGGAAUAGCGGGCACGUUUCAGAUAUAUGUUCAUUUAUUGCUUAUUGUUAAGGGCCACCAAACUGUCACGGAUGAUCUCAGAUUGAGUGGAAGCUUGCUGCAUUAGAGUGGUCAUGAUCGAUUCCGGACUUGAUAUGUAUUCAAUAUCCGUAUCAUUAGACAGAGUAGAAAUGUUUCCAAUGUCAAUCGUGAGGUCAAUUCCUUCUUUGUUGUCCAGAGUGGUAAAGGUGAAUGUCCCGUGUAUACUUGCAUUCCUUUCUUUGAAUCAACUUCCUUCAGAAUAAGAUAUUGUUUGAACAGAGUAUGUGUUGCCUAUCAUCUCUAACGACUUGUGCACUGGAAUGAACCCUAUGAGUUCAUAUUCCAAGCAUGGAGAGGAAGACCUCUAAAGCUAGUCCACCCACCUUAACUUGGAACAAGUUUAGGAUAGGCGUGGAUCUCUUCAGUCCAUUUUUCAAACUUUACAUAGAACUUGCCUACUAUUCCAAUCUUUGUUGCUGCUGCAGAGAAGCCUUGCUUGUUCCUUAUCUUUGAGAAAAAUCAGAGUUUUCUCAACAUGAAAAGGUUGGAAUGUGAGGUGGGUUUUUGUCUGUCCCUUAAGCUUUUCAAUUAUUUUUUCCCAAUCAUCAUGCAUUUAUCUUCUUGUAAUCACUAAUACCUUUUUCCAAUCAAUAUAAACUUCUUCAUCCCCAGACUUUUUAGUUUUACCACUAUCAUCAAACAAAGAUAAUUUCGAAGAAUCACUUUCAGUAGAACUAACAUAACUUGAACUAUCAGAAAAAAUCACCUCAACAUAAGUUCUUUUGUUUUUGUAAUCUGACAUUGAAUCUGAAGUAGAAGAGUAAUAAGCCUCUUUGCUUGAUUGCCCUGGGUGGAAAACCCUUGCUAUAGUUGUCUUGUAUGACAGCAUGUUCAAGAAAGAUGUCAACCUGUGUAAUAAACACUCUCAGAAACAAGGGUGCAUCCUUUCCUACCUCUGUCAUCCACUUUGAAUAUUUCCGCUAGGUUCCCUUUCUUGUUUUGAGUCUUGCUCAACCAUAAACAGUGUCCGUUUCCUCUUUUUUUCUGAAAGAACCUGUUUGUUUUUGGGGUUUUGAUCAGAGGCCCAGAAGGCUUUUUCUAACGAGUCAAUUUCUUCAGAAUAAACAGUGAUGGAGUAAGUCUUAUGGUGGCUGAAUUCAUUAAUGAGAAAUCUGGUUUUGACAGUAACGUGGGAAUUGUUUGGAGAAUGUCAUGGGAAUCGAAAGCAGACAGGCUGAGAAAGGUAAAGUAAGAAGACAAGGUAGCAAUGUAAAAACAGAACAAAGGGAAAUCAACUAAGGAAACAGAUGAAGAAGAUUAAUAGGCUGGGAGAUUAAUGCAGGUGGUUGGAUGAUUGAUGAUUGGUGAUUGGUAAACAACGUGGUGUAACGUCCAUCUCUAGCGAUGGAUUAAUGCCAUUGGGAAACUAGAACGGUCUCAUCUGAAGCUACCAUCAAUUCCUCUCCUCAAAUUAUUAUAAAAUUUUUGAAAUGUGUUCUGUUAGCAUUACAUAAUCUAUUCGAAUAUGAAUUUCUUAGCACGAGGUUUUAGAAACAUCGUGGUUUGUGGAGGUUGAUUUAUGUGGAUGUGGUUUACGAUCUCAA